rnacentral:rRNA from 1 species
CCUACGGGAGGCAGCAGUGAGGAAUAUUGGUCAAUGGACGGAAGUCUGAACCAGCCAUGCCGCGUGCAGGAAGACGGCUCUAUGAGUUGUAAACUGCUUUUGUACAAGGGUAAACCUGAAUACGUGUAUUCAGCUGAAAGUACUGUACGAAUAAGCCACGGCUAACUACGUGCCAGCAGCCGCGGUAAUACGUAGGUGGCAAGCGUUGUCCGGAUUUACUGGGUGUAAAGGGCGUGCAGCCGGAGAGACAAGUCAGAUGUGAAAUCCACGGGCUCAACCCGUGAACUGCAUUUGAAACUGUUUCCCUUGAGUGUCGGAGAGGUAAUCGGAAUUCCUUGUGUAGCGGUGAAAUGCGUAGAUAUAAGGAAGAACACCAGUGGCGAAGGCGGAUUACUGGACGAUAACUGACGGUGAGGCGCGAAAGCGUGGGGAGCAAACAGGAUUAGAUACCCUAGUAGUC